GACAAACAACCAUGCGAAGACGGAGGCAGAGAUUGAAGUGAUCUAGGGACAAGCCAAGGAAUGCCAAAGAUUGCUGGCAAUCACAAGAAACUGGAGAAGACAAGGAAGGUUCCUUCCUCCCCUCGAGUCUUCAGAGCAAAAGCACGGCUUUGAUUUCAGACUUCCAGCCUCCAGAACUGACCUCAGAAGAAAAAAAGGAGCCUCAUGAAAGAAUGCUAAGGUUUCUUUGGGAAACCCAAUAGAUAAAACUCCAUACUGAGAGAUUAAGGAUUCUUAACCCAGGGUCCAGGAACAGGCUCAGGAAUCCAACAGGCCCUGACACCUGUUUCCUAAAUGAAUCAGUGAACGCAUGAACUAGUUUACAAGACCUGGGUAUCGUCUCCAGCCAUCAAAAAAGAGACUUAAAUUGCUUCCAACCCCAGCAGCAGGCAGCUGGACUCACUGGGGAAUCAGACACUGGAAGAGGAAGCCUAAAUGCCUCUGAGGCCUCACAGCAAAAAGCCUGACCGAUGUUGAAAACA